rnacentral:lncRNA from 1 species
CUUGAAACUUCAAUUUGGGUCACUGAGAAGUCACAUUUUAUAUUGUCCAUUACAGUGACAAUCUUCUUUCCUCUUAGCUGAUAAAACAGGACAAAUAGAACACAAGCAGAAUCUACUCAGAAGUCAGCCAUAACAAAUAAAAGGAUCUGUGAUUCAUUGCAGAGAGAAGAGAGGGCAGGAGAGUCUGGGGUAUGACUGAAGGCUGAAAACUAGCCAACAAAGAAAUGUGGAAGACACAAUAUUCAGUCUGUACAGGGAGAUGGACAUACAUGACAGACAAGAGGCAAAGCCAUAGGAAUUGGCAGAGAAGAGGUUGUUCUCAAUGAUGUAGAAAAGAUUAAGAAAUCAUGAAGACGAUGCUGGAGCACAAACAUAGAUAAUGUACUGGCAUCAAAAAUGCUGAUGGAGGACAAAGGAGGUCUGAGAGAGAGCAUAGCUGUGCAGACACGACCGACCCUGAUCGCAGAACCAAAAGAAUGAGAGGUAUCGCAGGGAACAGGGGAUGGAGAGAGACACCAGCGAGCUGUAGAGGCAGCAGCAGGAAAGGAAGUGAAUGGUCUAUGGCAGACAUGCAAGACCAGUGUUUCACAUUAAAAACUUAUCCCUUCUCAUGGACUGAGAGCAUCUAUGCCCAGUUGUAAGAUCUUGAAUUUCUUGGGAGACAUAAAUAAGUGACAACUAACUUCUGUCAGCGGACACAACUGCCUUCUCCUCAGUUACUCCCAUUUGGCCACUGUGGAUUCUUUUUUUCAGAACACAAAUACUCUUAAGUGUACGCAAAGCAUCUCAUUCUCCCCGUUUGCCUUUGAACCGUAUGUUCAUUAUUCCAUAACCUUUUGAGGACUAGCUGGAACAGGAGAGAAACGGAUUGAAAGGUUCCCAGCAUCUAGCGGCCCAUCCUUUACACCCUCACUUCAAAACUGGAGUUUUCAUAGCCAAGAAAAUUUC